CAGUAAUGAGUGUUUAUUUUUGUUCAUCAGUGAAUGAAAACGGUUUUUAUCCUAAUAUGAAUUCAGCUUAUGAUCCUGAAUUUAUAUUGUUAAAGCAGUUAAUGAUAUUAUUUCAGAGUUAUAACUGACUUAGCAAAGUCACGUUAUUUAUUUAAGCGAGAUGAAAUUUGAUUUUAUUUUUACUCAGAUCGUGAAUUAUUUCCGACUCAGGAAGUUAAUUAAAUCUGCGGAUUUAAUUUAGAUAUCAGAACAACGAACGAAUUAAAUCUACGGAUUUAAUUUAGAUUCAUUUUAUAAUUUAUCGGUUUUAGUGAGAAAUCACAUGUCGAAAUACGAGAUUUAUUUAAAUAAACAGUAUCAAGCAUAUACGAGCACACGAUCCAUCUUACAGUUACAGAAUCACCGAGACAGAGAAAAUACAUCAAUAAUUCUCCUCUACAUUUUUUUUCCUUUCUUUUUCUUCUCUUUUUCUUUCCAUUAAUUUUGUUCCCCACUCCAUCAACUCCACUACCCUAUGCUCCCCACCAUCUCCACUACCUUUGCUCCCCAUCAACUCCAACACUUCACCCAUUCCUUCCAUUUCGCACCAGCAAUCACAAAGAGAAGGAAGACUUGGCUUAACUACUUUGCCAAGAUUUCAAGCUGCUCCAGUCCAGUAGUACCCCAACACUCGAAGCUAGAGUUUAUUGGGUGAAAAACCGUGCAUGAGGUCGAGCGCAAGAAUAAGAGCUCGUCAAGGAGUCACUAAUCUGUAGCAAAGCUUUGCUAUCAGGUUGAGCAGCUGCCGAUGGUGAUGAAGUGACGAGCGGGACUCUUUUGUCUUAUUAUGUAUUAAUGAACUCUAGGGUUACAUGUCUUCAUACAUGUAAUCAGAACCUUAUUCCGCUGCGUACUCAGAAGUUUUAUGUUAUUUUGGAUAAGUCGGAGUUAUCCGAACUUGUUAGUUAUUUGAGUCUAUACGACAAAAACUCUGUUAUAUUAUAGAUAUCUAUGUUGUUAACAAUGAUGAAAUACGAUCCUUUCUUGUUUGAUUA